rnacentral:lncRNA from 1 species
AACUUUGAUAGAAGCAGAAACUUUGAGAGGAGAAGAGAGAACAUGGCAGGAGGCCCUCCUCCUCAACGUCCCCCAAUGGGAGGACCUCCUCCUCCUCCAAUGGGAGGACCCCCACCUCCUCCACACAUGGGUGGCUCUGCACCUCCUCCUCCACACAUGGGUGGCUCUGCACCUCCUCCUCCACACAUGGGGCAGAACUAUGGACCUCCGAACAACAUGGGAGGGCAAAGGCCUCCACCAAACUAUGGAGGGUCACCACCUCAAAACAACAUGGGUGGACAGAGGCCACCACCAAACUAUGGAGGAGCACCAC